rnacentral:rRNA from 1 species
UAACUUUGAGCGGUGGAUCACUCG